CUUAAUAUUGUCGAUAUUGUCAAGUGUGUUUAGAGCAUAUGAGAGCAUAUGACUGCUGCCAAAGCAGAGGGGAAAGCCUUAAGGAAAAUGAUAGGGGGUGGUGUUGGGAGGACAAGCAUGUAUGUGAGUCAGGGGGAUGAAAACAUACUGAGAAGAAAGAAUGUGUUACAGUGUGUGUCUGACUGGAGUGAGGAGUGGCAUAAGAUUUACAGAGGGAGACAAAAGACAUUUUGCACUGGGAGUGAAUAAUCUGAAUGUACUUCAAAUUGUAGUUUUAGGUGUUCAUUUGAAAGUUCAGAAGUCUGAAGUGAUAAAUAAUGAAGAAUUCACUCCAAAGGAAAAGAAGCUCCAGCUCAGCUUUAACUACAGCUAACAUAAGGGUGUGAUUCGUGUGUCUGGAAUCCCUCUUGAUUACUCUGAGAGUGAACUCAUCAAAAUGGCAUCUCCCUUUGGUCACCCUGUUGAGGUUUUAAUGGCAACUGAUGUUGACACGACAACCUGUCUACAGUGGAAGAAGGCUUUACUGAUGUUUCCAACUGAAUUCUCAGCCCAGGAGAUGGUGAAGGUUUACUCUGCUAUCCCAGUUCACAUGAGGCAGCAAAGUUUAGAGUUGGUGUCUCGAACUGUUGAUUUUAAUUCACCUGUGUCAGUGUUUCAUGCCUUUGUGGGACCAUCAUUGUCAAAUGGGCUGCUAACACCUUUGGACCAUUUGCUGGUUGUAUGUAAUGUUCCCAAUCAGCCCUGUGCUGUUACAGGAGUGCUACGGCUACUAAAGCCUUUUGGACAAGUUUUCAGAACUCUGGUACUUCAUGGAAACAAGGUGGAUGUAGAUCAGUGCCUUGGGAACAAUAGCAGCAUCCAGAUGGUUUUAGAGAUGGAAUCCUCUUCUGUUGCUUUAUCUGUGUAUGAGUGGUCUCAAAAAAUUCCUUGUCUUUAUCACAACCAUCAUCUCUCUUUCCUCAGAGGAUGUAAUAUACAGAAAAAUACAUCUUCGGUCUAAUAUCCUCACAGUUUUGUCCCCUUAAAUAUUGUAUAUUUUAUUAUCUUUGUUAUAAAAUACAAUGAAACAAGGUCAUAAGAAGUAUUAUUGUUUGUCUUUCUCCUUUUAUGAAGUUGUAUAUUUAUCAAGCAGUAGAAGUAGCAUUAAAAAUAGUAAUCCUAACUACAGUCACUACAAUACCCAUAGUCAUGGAAAUCCUGGAAAUAUCAGUCAUGAAAAAUUUUAAAAUGUCAAGAAAUAUUUAAUCCAGUAAUCACAAUCAGCUGGAAAGGUCAUGGAAUGCAUAAGUCAGAAAUAGUAAGAACCUGUAAAUUAUAUUAAAUGAUUAAUUUACAUAUGGUUGUAUGAUUUUAAUUGUUGGAAAUGUUGGAAGUUCACAUAUAGUGACAAACCCAAUCACAGUUUUAAAGAGUUAAUUCACCCAGAAAAAUAAAUUUCCCCAUACAGUGAAAGCAUUAGUAACCAGGGGCCAUCAAGCUUCAAAAGGGAUAAAAUAGCACUGUAUGUAGGUUUGAUGUCAUUGAUAUCAUGCACCAAGUUUAAAAAUAUCUAUGUACAUAUGCAAGUAAGAUUUGAGAGCUGUGCAAGAGGGGAUAUUUUCACUACUAUAAAACACACCAGUGUACUUCACUAGGCCUUAAAGGGAUAGUUCACCCAAAAAUAUUAUAAUAUUAUAUUGUCAAAUUUCAUCAAUGUUGCUGAUGUAAACAUGCAACCUGUGACGUAGCAUUUUGCUGUUUAUCAUGUAUCAUUUCAUACUUUAUUGUUUCACAUAUUGAAAUUAACAGUCAACAUACCUACAGCCUACUGUGUAGUAGUCAGCAUGGAGUUAUAAAUUAAAUAAUAAAUUAAAUAAAUAAAUUUAUGCAUUUAGCAGACGCUUUUAUCCAAAGCGACUUACAGUGCAUUCAGGCUAUCAAUUUUUACCUAUCAUUAUGUUUGUUUACAACAUCUGGGUCAUUGUUCUCAACCUUAAAAUGCUGUAUAUGAGUGUCUUUGUACUGAUUUUGUUUUUUUAAUCACCUAGAUUGUUCUAUAUUAAACAUUUGAGUGGGUUAUAUCAGAUCCAAAUCUGGGUUAAUGACACUAUUGCAUAAGAGGUUACAUCUCAUGAUCCUUUAUCCAAACUAAGCGACUUGCAGCGUCCGAGCCACCUUCAAGCACAAGCAAAGAGAUGUUUUUUGAAUAAAACCAAGUAUUUUUCCAGUGAAUUUGCAUGCAGG
rnacentral:lncRNA from 1 species